rnacentral:rRNA from 1 species
GAUGAACGCUAGCUACAGGCUUAACACAUGCCAGUCGAGGGGAAACGACAUCGAAAGCUUGCUUUUGAUGGGCGUCGACCGGCGCACGGGUGAGUAACGCGUAUCCAACCUGCCCAUCACUUGGGAAUAACCUUGCGAAAGUAGACUAAUACCCAAUGAUAUCCCACGAAGGCAUCGGAAUGGGAUUAAAGAUUUAUCGGUGAUGGAUGGGGAUGCGUCUGAUUAGCUUGUUGGCGGGGUAACGGCCCACCAAGGCAACGAUCAGUAGGGGUUCUGAGAGGAAGGUCCCCCAGAUUGGAACUGAGACACGGACCAAACUCCUACGGGAGGCAGCAGUGAGGAAUAUUAGUCAAUGGGCGAGGGCCUGAACCAGCCAAGUAGCGUGCAGGAAGACGGCCCUAUGGGUGGUAAACUGCUUUUAAAAGGGAAUAAAGUGGGUAACGUGUGACUUUUUGCAGGUACCUAAUGAAUAAGGACCGGCUAAUUCCGUG